rnacentral:rRNA from 1 species
AUUGAACGCUGGCGGCAGGCUUAACACAUGCAAGUCGAGCGAGUGGCGGACGGGUAAGUAAUGUCUGGGAAACUGCCUGAUGGAGGGGGAUAACUACUGGAAACGGUAGCUAAUACCGCAUACCAUCAGAUGUGCCCAGAUGGGAUUAGCUAGUAGGUGGGGUAAUGGCUCACCUAGGCGACGAUCCCUAGCUGGUCUGAGAGGAUGACCAGCUACACUGGAACUGAGACACGGUCCAGACUCCUACGGGAGGCAGCAGUGGGGAAUAUUGCACCAUGGGCGAAAGCGUGAUCCAGCAUUGCCGCGCUGGUUAAGAACGCCUGCGGGUGGUAAAGAUAAGUGAGAGAGGAGGCAUGACCCGCAGAAGAAGCUCCGGCCAACUCCGUGACAGCAGCCGCGGUAAUAC